AGCAGCCGCGGUAAUUCCAGCUCCAAUAGCGUAUAUUAAAGUUGUUGCAGUUAAAAAGCUCGUAGUUGAAUUUCGGGGUUCAUACGUUGGUCGGGCUUUUUGGUCUGUACUGGCGUAAUGGAUUCCUACCUUCUGAAUAACCGGCAUGCCAUUAAUUUGGUGCGCCGGGGAAGCAGGACUGUUACCUUGAAAAAAUUAGAGUGCUUAAAGCAGGCUAUCGCCUGAAUACAUUAGCAUGGAAUAAUGAAAUAGGACGGCAUGGUUCUAUUUUGUUGGUUUCUAGGAUCACCGUAAUGAUUAAUAGGGAUAGUUGGGGGCAUUAGUAUUCAAUUGUCAGAGGUGAAAUUCUUGGAUUUAUUGAAGGCUAACUUCUGCGAAAGCAUUUGCCAAGGAUGUUUUCAUUAAUCAAGAACGAAAGUUAGGGGAUCGAAGACGAUCAGAUACCGUCGUAGUCUUAACCAUAAACUAUGCCGACUAGGGAUCGGACGAUGUUAAUUUUUUCAAUGACUCGUUCGGCGCC
rnacentral:rRNA from 1 species